GUGGGGAAUAUUCCGCAAUGGACGAAAGUCUGACGGAGCAACGCCGCGUGAGUGAUGAAGGUUUUCGGACUGUAAAGCUCUGUUGUUUGGGACGAAAGUGCCUGUUGCGAACAGUUACGGGUAUUGACGGUACUAAACGAGGAAGCCACGGCUAACUACGUGCCAGCAGCCGCGGUAAUACGUAGGUGGCAAGCGUUGUCCGGAAUUAUUGGGCGUAAAGAGCAUGUAGGCGGGAAUCUAAGUCUGUUGUGAAAAUGCGGGGCUCAACCCCGUAUUGCGAUGGAAACUGGGUUUCUUGAGUGCAGGAGAGGAAAGGGGAAUUCCCAGUGUAGCGGUGAAAUGCGUAGAUAUUGGGAGGAACACCAGUGGCGAAGGCGCCUUUCUGGACUGUGUCUGACGCUGAGAUGUGAAAGCCAGGGUAGCGAACGGGAUUAGAAACCCUCGUAGUCC
rnacentral:rRNA from 1 species